GACGAACGCUGGCGGCGUGCUUAACACAUGCAAGUCGAACGAUGAAGCCGGAGCUUGCUCCGGUGGAUUAGUGGCGAACGGGUGAGUAACACGUGAGCAAUCUGCCCUUGACUCUGGGAUAACUGCGGGAAACUGUAGCUAAUACCGGAUACGACACCUUGGGGCAUCCCAGGGUGUGGAAAGAAUUUCGGUCAAGGAUGAGCUCGCGGCCUAUCAGCUAGUUGGUGAGGUAAUGGCUCACCAAGGAGACGACGGGUAGCCGGCAUGAGAGGGUGACCGGCCACAGUGGAACUGAGACACGGUCCAGACGCCUACGGGAGGCAGCAGUGGGGAAUAUUGCACAAUGGGCGAAAGCCUGAUGCAGCAACGCCGCGUGAGGGAUGAAGGCCUUCGGGUUGUAAACCUCUUUUAGCAGGGAAGAAGCGAAAGUGACGGUACCUGCAGAAAAAGCACCGGCUAACUACGUGCCAGCCGCCGCCGUAA
rnacentral:rRNA from 1 species